ensembl:lncRNA
GCCCGAGGCAGGCAUCAGGGUCUUAUAAGAGGAGGCGGGGCAGCAGAUUGGAGAGGUGGAAAGUGAGGAGACAGUAGAAGCAGACACUGGAGUGAUGUGGCCACAAGCCAGGGAAUGCUAGCAGACUCUGGAAGCCAGAGGUGGUGAGGAUCAGCUUCUUCCCUAGAGGCCUCAGGAAGAACCAGCCUUGCCGACACCUUGACUUUAUCCCAGUGACGCUGGCCGCCACACCUGUAGGGGAGUAUACAUGGAUGUGGUUUUAGGUCACUGAGAUCGUGGUAAUUCAUCAUAGCGGCCACAGGAAAUGGAUACAGGAUGUUGUGAAGAUAGACAGUCCUCCACAAGGAGAAGGAUUUGCUGUAACGUCGUCAGAGCAGUCGUGUCCGACUCUUUGUGACCCUGUGGCUUGUAGCCCGCUAGACUCUUUUGUCCAUGGGAUUCUCCGGGCAAGGAACACUGGAUCCAGGAAGAUUCCACGUGCCACAGAGCAACUGAGCCGGCUUGCCACAACCACUGAAGUCUUCAUGCUCUAGGACCCGAGAACCACAAUUACUGAGCCCCUGUGCCACAGCCACUGAAGGCUGAGAGCCUAGAGCCCAUGAUCUGCAACAAGAGAAGUCACUGCAGUGAGAAGAAGCUAGAGCGCCAGAAGUAGAGAGUAGCCCCCGCUCCCUGCCCGCAUGCAGCAAAGAAGACCCAGCACAGCCAAAAUUAAAUAAAUACAGCAGUGUGUAUAAGUCAAAAAAUAAACUAAUUAAAAAAAAAAGAAAAGAAAACUCUGGAAGGUUUCUCCUGGUCAAUGGGUAUCCACACAGAUCUCACAAAAGGUUCUUAGUGUCACUGUGAGUUUUCCUCUGAAAGCCUUUUUCAGAACUGGGCAUCCUGAGUGAUUCUAGAAUUUCAAAAUCUGUGGAGGGGAGCAAGCUGGAGAAUCCUUUUGUUCACGCAAGUUCAGCUCCUCUGGAAAUUGGGAGCCAGCCCUCAAAAAUCUCAGAUGUUCUUGAUGUGAGCCUCUCGGAGACCUUCAGAGGCGAUCCCUGGCUGAGGACUUGCCAACCUCAAGGGUAACCUCUGUGCCUUGAAACUGUGAAGUUAGAGCAAGAAGCCGGUCACACAAAUAGCCUUGCAACCUGAGUGUGCACGCAUCAGGAUCGCUUGGAAGGCUGCUGAUGCAGACUGCUGAGCACCCCCAGCCCAGGGAGACUCAAAGUAUCCGCGCUGAGACUGGACAAUUUGCAUUUCUUCGUUUGUUUGCUGAAAUGUGACCCAUUCUUGUGGGAUGAUGCCAACACUGGAUGCAGGACUAUUUUAAAGUCAUUUGGACCUAAUCUCACUUUCACAGAUUCUGCUCCUUAUUACAUCAAAUA